rnacentral:rRNA from 1 species
AAUCCAUAGGUUAAUGAGGCGAACCGGGGGAACUGAAACAUCUAAGUACCCCGAGGAAAAGAAAUCAACCGAGAUUCCCCCAGUAGCGGCGAGCGAACGGGGAGGAGCCCAGAGCCUGAAUCAGCAUGUGUGUUAGUGGAAGCGUCUGGAAAGGCGCGCGAUACAGGGUGACAGCCCCGUACACAAAAGCGCAUGUGCUGUGAGCUCGAUGAGUAGGGCGGGACACGUGGUAUCCUGUCUGAAUAUGGGGGGACCAUCCUCCAAGGCUAAAUACUCCUGACUGACCGAUAGUGAACCAGUACCGUGAGGGAAAGGCGAAAAGAACCCCGGCGAGGGGAGUGAAAAAGAACCUGAAACCGUGUACGUACAAGCAGUGGGAGCACAGGUUUACCUGUGUGACUGCGUACCUUUUGUAUAAUGGGUCAGCGACUUAUAUUCUGUAGCAAGGUUAACCGAAUAGGGGAGCCGGAGGGAAACCGAGUCUUAAUUGGGCGUUAAGUUGCAGGGUAUAGACCCGAAACCCGGUGAUCUAGCCAUGGGCAGGUUGAAGGUUGGGUAACACUAACUGGAGGACCGAACCGACUAAUGUUGAAAAAUUAGCGGAUGACCUGUGGCUGGGGGUGAAAGGCCAAUCAAACCGGGAGAUAGCUGGUUCUCCCCGAAAGCUAUUUAGGUAGCGCCUCGUGAAUUCAUCUCCGGGGGUAGAGCACUGUUUCGGCUAGGGGGCCAUCCCGGCUUACCAACCCGAUGCAAACUGCGAAUACCGGAGAAUGUUAUCACGGGAGACACACGGCGGGUGCUAACGUCCGUCGUGAAGAGGGAAACAACCCAGACCGCCAGCUAAGGUCCCAAAGUCAUGGUUAAGUGGGAAACGAUGUGGGAAGGCCCAGACAGCCAGGAUGUUGGCUUAGAAGCAGCCAUCAUUUAAAGAAAGCGUAAUAGCUCACUGGUCGAGUCGGCCUGCGCGGAAGAUGUAACGGGGCUAAACCAUGCACCGAAGCUGCGGCAGCGAACGUAUCACUUAAAGCGAUUCAGCGGGUUACGAUUGACGGAGCGAAGCGACGUCAAAGCGUAUACAAAGUCGAGUCGGUUUAAGGAUACGUUCGUUGGGUAGGGGAGCGUUCUGUAAGCCUGUGAAGGUGGCCUGUGAGGGUUGCUGGAGGUAUCAGAAGUGCGAAUGCUGACAUAAGUAACGAUAAAGCGGGUGAAAAGCCCGCUCGCCGGAAGACCAAGGGUUCCUGUCCAACGUUAAUCGGGGCAGGGUGAGUCGACCCCUAAGGCGAGGCCGAAAGGCGUAGUCGAUGGGAAACGGGUUAAUAUUCCCGUACUUGGUGUUACUGCGAAGGGGGGACGGAGAAGGCUAUGUUGGCCGGGCGACGGUUGUCCCGGUUUAAGCGUGUAGGUGUGUGUUCCAGGUAAAUCCGGUUCACUUUAACACUGAGGCGUGACGACGAGGCACUACGGUGCUGAAGCAACAAAUGCCCUGCUUCCAGGAAAAGCCUCUAAGCAUCAGGUAACAUCAAAUCGUACCCCAAACCGACACAGGUGGUCAGGUAGAGAAUACCAAGGCGCUUGAGAGAACUCGGGUGAAGGAACUAGGCAAAAUGGUGCCGUAACUUCGGGAGAAGGCACGCUGACACGUAGGUGAAGUGAUUUACUCACGGAGCUGAAGUCAGUCGAAGAUACCAGCUGGCUGCAACUGUUUAUUAAAAACACAGCACUGUGCAAACACGAAAGUGGACGUAUACGGUGUGACGCCUGCCCGGUGCCGGAAGGUUAAUUGAUGGGGUCAGCGCAAGCGAAGCUCCUGAUCGAAGCCCCGGUAAACGGCGGCCGUAACUAUAACGGUCCUAAGGUAGCGAAAUUCCUUGUCGGGUAAGUUCCGACCUGCACGAAUGGCGUAAUGAUGGCCAGGCUGUCUCCACCCGAGACUCAGUGAAAUUGAACUCGCUGUGAAGAUGCAGUGUACCCGCGGCAAGACGGAAAGACCCCGUGAACCUUUACUAUAGCUUGACACUGAACAUUGAGCCUUGAUGUGUAGGAUAGGUGGGAGGCUUUGAAGCGUGGACGCCAGUCUGCGUGGAGCCGACCUUGAAAUACCACCCUUUAAUGUUUGAUGUUCUAACGUGGACCCGUAAUCCGGGUUGCGGACAGUGUCUGGUGGGUAGUUUGACUGGGGCGGUCUCCUCCUAAAGAGUAACGGAGGAGCACGAAGGUUGGCUAAUCCUGGUCGGACAUCAGGAGGUUAGUGCAAUGGCAUAAGCCAGCUUGACUGCGAGCGUGACGGCGCGAGCAGGUGCGAAAGCAGGUCAUAGUGAUCCGGUGGUUCUGAAUGGAAGGGCCAUCGCUCAACGGAUAAAAGGUACUCCGGGGAUAACAGGCUGAUACCGCCCAAGAGUUCAUAUCGACGGCGGUGUUUGGCACCUCGAUGUCGGCUCAUCACAUCCUGGGGCUGAAGUAGGUCCCAAGGGUAUGGCUGUUCGCCAUUUAAAGUGGUACGCGAGCUGGGUUUAGAACGUCGUGAGACAGUUCGGUCCCUAUCUGCCGUGGGCGCUGGAGAACUGAGGGGGGCUGCUCCUAGUACGAGAGGACCGGAGUGGACGCAUCACUGGUGUUCGGGUUGUCAUGCCAAUGGCACUGCCCGGUAGCUAAAUGCGGAAGAGAUAAGUGCUGAAAGCAUCUAAGCACGAAACUUGCCCCGAGAUGAGUUCUCCCUGAGACUUAGAGUCUCCUGAAGGAACGUUGAAGACGACGACG